rnacentral:rRNA from 1 species
AUGUUGAUGCAAUACUACUUCACGGACAAUCCUACAUAUCCACCGCAUCUCUUCCGGAGAAGGUAUUGAAUGCGCCGAUCCCUCUUCGUAAAAAUAGUGCAAGCUUGCGAGGCCAAUUCUCGGUUUUUAACUCAAAAGAGAAACGCUGCGGGCUUGAUGGGUUUUAGCGCAUAUUAAAAAAUCUCGGCAGCUAUGUGGGUGAUUGCAUAUGGCAUUCCGGCUGACUAUGCCGACGAAUAUCUUCCAAUUGGCGAAGAUACUACAAUUGAGUCAGUGCAUAGGUUCGCCAAAGUGAUCAUCCGUGUCUUUGGUCCUAUCUACAUGCACCCAACGAGGAAGACACAAAAAUAUUGA